rnacentral:misc_RNA from 1 species
UACGUAGGGGGCAAGCGUUGUCCGGAAUUAUUGGGCGUAAAGAGCUCGUAGGCGGUCCAUUAAGUCAGAGGUGAAAUCUCAGGGCUCAACCCUGAAACCGCCCCUGAUACUGGUGGACUUGAGGCAGGUAGGGGAAGGUGGAAUUCCUGGUGUAGCGGUGAAAUGCGCAGAUAUCAGGAGGAACACCAAUGGCGAAGGCAGCCUUCUGGGCCUGUACUGACGCUGAGGAGCGAAAGCGUGGGGAGCAAACAGG